UACGGGGGGGGCUAGCGUUGUUCGGAAUUACUGGGCGUAAAGGGCUCGUAGGUGGCCAACUAAGUCAUGCGUGAAAUCCCUCGGCUUAACCGGGGAACUGCGUCUGAUACUGGAUGGCUUGAAUCCGGGAGAGGGAUGCGGAAUUCCAGGUGUAGCGGUGAAAUCCGUAGAUAUCAGGAGGAACACCGGUGGCGAAGGCGGCUGCCUGGACCGAUACUGACGCUGAGACGCGAAAGCGUGGGGAGCAAACAGG
rnacentral:rRNA from 1 species